rnacentral:rRNA from 1 species
AUAGAAGUGAGAAUGCCGGAAUGAGUAGCGCGAAUGCAGUGAGAAUCUGCAUGGCCGAAAGCCUCAGGUUUCUGGAGGAAGGUUCGUCCGCUCCAGGUUAGUCGGGAGCUAAGGUGAGGCCUAACGGCGUAGCCGAUGCACAGACGGUAGAGAUUCCGUCACCACCAAAAGAGUUAAGCACAGGGACACAUUUGAAGUCUCGGAGCCGGGUGUUGGUUCCGGUAGCGAUCGAGGGAAAUUAGUACCGAAGUCCGGGAUGGAAGAUGGCGAGAAAAGCUGUGUGUAUUUCUGCGGUGCCCGUACCGCAAACCGACACAGGUAGGUAGGAAGAAGAUUCUAAGGCCAACGGGAGAAGGGUUGUUAAGGAACUCGGCAAAUUGACCCCGUAACUUCGGGAGAAGGGGUGCUCCAGAGAUGGAGCCGCAGAGAAUCGGCCCAAGCAACUGUUUACCAAAAACACAGGUUUGUGCUAAAUCGAAAGAUGACGUAUACGAGCUGACGCCUGCCCGGUGCUGGAAGGUUAAGAGGAGAUGUGCAAGCAUUGAAUCGAAGCCCCAGUGAACGGCGGCCGUAACAAUAACGGUCCUAAGGUAGCGAAAUUCCUUGUCAGGUAAGUUCUGACCCGCAUGAAAGGCGUAAUGAUUUGGGCACUGUCUCGACAGCCCGCCCGGCGAAAUUGUAGUACCGGUGAAGAUGCCGGUUACCCGCGACAAGACGGAAAGACCCCAUGGAGCUUUACUGUAGCCUAAUAUUGGGUUUCGAUGUUGCAUGCACAGGAUAGAUGGGACACAGGGAAGUGAUCGCUUUGGCGGUCAUGGAGUGGCCGUUGGGAUACCAUCCUUGCGAUAUUGGAAUUCUAACCUGCGCCUUUGAAUCAAGGCGGGGGACAUUGUUAGGUGGGCAGUUUGACUGGGGCGGUCGCCUCCUAAAGAGUAACGGAGGCGUUCAAAGGUUCGCUCAGCUUGAACGGAAAUCAAGCAAAAGAGUGCAAACGCAGAAGCGAGCCUAACUGCGAGACUGACGGGUCGAGCAGUAACGAAAGUUGGAGUUAGUGAUCCGGUGGUAUGUGAGUGGAAAUGCCAUCGCUCAACGGAUAAAAGUUACCCUGGGGAUAACAGGCUGAUCUCCCCCAAGAGUCCACAUCGACGGGGAGGUUUGGCACCUCGAUGUCGGCUCAUCGCAUCCUGGGGCUGUAUUCGGUCCCAAGGGUUUGGCUGUUCGCCAAUUAAAGCGGUACGCGAGCUGGGUUCAGAACGUCGUGAGACAGUUCGGUCCCUAUCUGUCGUGGGCGCAGGAUAUUUGAUGGGAGCUGUUCCUAGUACGAGAGGACCGGAGCGGACGUACCUCUGGCGCACCAGUUGUUCUGCCAAGAGCAUAGCUGGGCAACUAUGUACGGAUCGGAUAAACGCUGAAAGCAUCUAAGCGUGAAGCCGACCCAAAGAUAAGAUAUCCCACUGAUUCGAUCAGGUAAGAUCCCUUGAAGACUACAAGGUUGAUAGGCACAAUGUGUAAGUGGAGUGAUCCAUUCAGCAAGCGUGUACUAAUAGAUCGAGGGCUUGACC